rnacentral:rRNA from 1 species
ACGAACGCUGGCGGCGUGCUUAACACCUGCCAGUCGAACGGAAAGGCCCUGCUUUUGUGGGGUGCUCGAGUGGCGAACGGGUGGGUAACACGUGAGUAACCUGCCCUUGACUUUGGGAUAACUUCAGGAAACUGGGGCUAAUACCGGAUAGGAGGUCCUGCUGCAUGGGGGGGGUUGGAAAGUUUCGGCGGGUGGGGAUGGACUCGCGGCUUAUCAGCUUGUUGGUGGGGUAGUGGCUUACCAAGGCUUUGACGGGUAGCCGGCCUGAGAGGGUGACCGGCCACAUUGGGACUGAGAUACGGCCCAGACUCCUACGGGAGGCAGCAGUGGGGAAUAUUGCACAAUGGGCGGAAGCCUGAUGCAGCAACGCCGCGUGCGGGAUGACGGCCUUCGGGUUGUAAACCGCUUUCGCCUGUGACGAAGCGUGAGUGACGGUAAUGGGUAAAGAAGCACCGGCUAACUACGUG